GUCAGGACCCGUGAUAGCUCAGUUGGUAGAGCGGAGGACUGUAGAUCCUUAGGUCGCUGGUUCAAAUCCGGCUCUGGGACA